rnacentral:rRNA from 1 species
GAUGAACGCUGGCGGCGUGCCUAAUACAUGCAAGUAGAACGCUGAAGGAAGGAGCUUGCUCUUUCCGGAUGAGUUGCGAACGGGUGAGUAACGCGUAGGUAACCUGCCUGGUAGCGGGGGAUAACUAUUGGAAACGAUAGCUAAUACCGCAUAACAGUAGAUGUUGCAUGACAACUAUUUGAAAGGGGCAAUUGCUCCACUACCAGAUGGACCUGCGUUGUAUUAGCUAGUUGGUGAGGUAACGGCUCACCAAGGCGACGAUACAUAGCCGACCUGAGAGGGUGAUCGGCCACCCUGGGACUGAGACACGGCCCAGACUCCUACGGGAGGCAGCAGUAGGGAAUCUUCGGCAAUGGACGGAAGUCUGACCGAGCAACGCCGCGUGAGUGAAGAAGGGUUUCGGAUCGUAAAGCUCUGUUGUAAGAGAAGAACGAGUGUGAGAGUGGAAAGUUCACACUGUGACGGUAUCUUACCAGAAAGGGACGGCUAACUACGUG